ACUUUCCAAACUCCCCUAACAUCAAAUCCCUUUUGUAGGGUAAGCUAAGAGUUUGAUGAGUUGGCUCAGAAAUUUCAUUGAACACCUUCCGGGCAAUGAAAUGUCUAGAGUUCUAAACCAGAAUGGCCAACUCAAGCUUAGCAUUAAGAUCACUCAAUCAAGCAAGGAAACACAUUAACCUACUCUAAACAUUCUAGAUCAUCACU
rnacentral:lncRNA from 1 species